CCGAGUUUUCAACUCACCAACCCACUGUGAACAUACCUACGUUGCUUCGGCGGCGGGCUUCGGCCCCCGCCGGGGACCCAAACACUAUUUUUAACCGAUACCUCUGAGUAAAAAACAAAUAAAUCA
rnacentral:misc_RNA from 1 species